UAGGGAAUCUUCCGCAAUGGACGAAAGUCUGACGGAGCAACGCCGCGUGAGUGAUGAAGGCCUUCGGGUCGUAAAACUCUGUUGUUAGGGAAGAACAAGUAUCGUUCGAAUAGGGCGGUACCUUGACGGUACCUAACCAGAAAGCCACGGCUAACUACGUGCCAGCAGCCGCGGUAAUACGUAGGUGGCAAGCGUUGUCCGGAAUUAUUGGGCGUAAAGCGCGCGCAGGUGGUCCUUUAAGUCUGAUGUGAAAGCCCACGGCUCAACCGUGGAGGGUCAUUGGAAACUGGGGGACUUGAGUACAGAAGAGGAAAGUGGAAUUCCACGUGUAGCGGUGAAAUGCGUAGAGAUGUGGAGGAACACCAGUGGCGAAGGCGACUUUCUGGUCUGUAACUGACACUGAGGCGCGAAAGCGUGGGGAGCGAACAGGAUUAGAUACCCUGGUAGUCCGACGCCGUAAACGAUGAGUGCUAAGUGUUAGAGGGUUUCCGCCCUUUAGUGCUGCAGCUAACG
rnacentral:rRNA from 1 species